CAUGGCUUUUUGUUAUUUAUAUAAGGUCUAACCUGCCCAAUGAUAAUUUAUUUAAUGGCCGCGGUAUUUUGACCGUGCAAAGGUAGCAUAAUCAUUAGUUUUUUAAUUGAAAGCUGGAAUGAAAGGUUGAAUGAGAAAAUAACUGUCUUUAUUAUAUUUAAUUAGAAUUUUAUUUUUAAGUUAAAAAGCUUAAAUUUUAUUUAAAGACGAGAAGACCCUUUAGAGUUUUAUAAAAGAUUGAUUUUUGAUUUUUUAGUAUUAAUUAUAAUAAGGUUGGAUUUUAUUUGAUUGGGGCGAUUGAAAAAUUUAAAAAACUUUUUUUUUUACUUAACAUUAAUUUAUGAAUACUUGAUCCUUAAAUUAAGAUUAUAAGAUUAAAUUACCUAAGGGAUAACAGCGUUAUUUUUUUUGAGAGUUCUUAUCGAAAAAAAAGAUUGCGACCUCGAUGUUGGAUUAAAAUUAAAUUAUGGUGUAGAGGCUAUAAC
rnacentral:rRNA from 1 species